AGCGGUUCAAAGACUUGAAGAGAAGAGAGCCGGUUCUUAACAAACCAAGAUCAUAGCGACAUCAAGGACCGUGAAGGCUAUACUCUUUUUCCCUUAACAAAGUUUUAUCCCAAGUGGUUUUCUUUGUUAAGGUUUUUAAUGAGGUAGUCGACACGAGUCCACGCUUGAUCUCUGGUCCUCAUGUUGUCCCGACGAUCAAACGUGCGGGAGGGUAUUAAAAUAUAAGAAGAAGUAGAAAGGAGUCAAGGCCGAAGUCAUGACGACAAGGCCGAAGAUCUCCAAGCUUGACCUUUGGUCCUUAUUGUCCCGACGCUCAAGCUUGCGGGGGAGUAUUGAACCAAGUGAAGAGAAAGAUCUCCAUAAGAUAGCCGUGCAAAGCUCGGGUCACUUCAAGGUAUGAAGGCCGGAAGUGCAAAAUUGGUGUAAAGUCACCAAGACACCGAAGUGCAAAAUUGGUGUAAACACAUAAGACGAGUCAAGGCCGAAGAUCUCAAGACAAGGCCGAAGACGAGACACCAAUGUGCAAAAUUGGUGUCAAAGUUAUCAAGACCCAAUGUGCAAAAUUAGUGUCAAAGUUAUCAUGACCUAAUGUGCAUAAUUGGUGUCAAAAGUAUCAAGACCGAGGAUGCAAAAUGAAGUCUAUGCAAGAAUACAAGAAUGUGCAAAACUCGUGUCACCUAGUGAAGAUAAUAAUGUGCAAGAUUGGUGUCACAUAAGAGAAGCCCAUGAGAGACCUUCUAGAAGACCUAAGAGCCGUUGGAGACAAAGGAAGGAGACUCAAAUUCAAACUUGGUCUUGGUCAAAGUUGGACCACAACCUUCUAGAAGACAAAAGAGGACCACAACCUUCUAGAAGCUAUUUUGAAUUCAAUGGUGGAGAUUUAAAGAGAGAAAAGAAGGGCUAGGAUUAAAGGGAAUUGUGAGACAUCUUAACUUAGUUCUCCUUCUAUAUAAAGCCUUGUAAUCUCAUUGUAAAGGUUAACACAUCAAUAAGAAA
rnacentral:lncRNA from 1 species